rnacentral:rRNA from 1 species
GGUAAUACCGGCGCCUCAAGUGGUAGUCGCUUUUAUUGGGCCUAAAACGUCCGUAGCCGGUUUGGUACAUUCGUGGGUAAAUCAACUCGCUCAACGAGUUGAAUUCUGCGAGGACGGCCAAACUUGGGACCGGGAGAGGUGUGGGGUACUCUCAGGGUAGGGGUAAAAUCCUGUCAUCCUGAGAGGACCACCUGUUGCGAAGGCGCCACACUAGAACGGAUCCGACGGUCAGGGACGAAGCCUAGGGGCACGAACCGGAUUAGAUACCCGGGUAGUCCUAGGUGUAAACGCUGUGGACUUGAUGUUGGAGAAGCUCCGAGCUUCUUCAGUGUCGAAGCGAAGGUGAUAAGUCCACUGCCUGGGAAGUACGGUCGCAAGGCUGAAACUUAGGUAAUACCGGCGCCUCAAGUGGUAGUCGCUUUUAUUGGGCCUAAAACGUCCGUAGCCGGUUUGGUACAUUCGUGGGUAAAUCAACUCGCUCAACGAGUUGAAUUCUGCGAGGACGGCCAAACUUGGGACCGGGAGAGGUGUGGGGUACUCUCAGGGUAGGGGUAAAAUCCUGUCAUCCUGAGAGGACCACCUGUUGCGAAGGCGCCACACUAGAACGGAUCCGACGGUCAGGGACGAAGCCUAGGGGCACGAACCGGAUUAGAUACCCGGGUAGUCCUAGGUGUAAACGCUGUGGACUUGAUGUUGGAGAAGCUCCGAGCUUCUUCAGUGUCGAAGCGAAGGUGAUAAGUCCACUGCCUGGGAAGUACGGUCGCAAGGCUGAAACUUA